rnacentral:rRNA from 1 species
GACGAACGCUGGCGGCGUGCUUAACACAUGCAAGUCGAACGAUGAAGUUCCUUCGGGAAUGGAUUAGUGGCGAACGGGUGAGGAACGCGUGGGAACGUGCCUUUAGGUUCGGAAUAGCUCCUGGAAACGGGUGGUAAUGCCGAAUGUGCCCUUAGGGGGAAAGAUUUAUCGCCUUUAGAGCGGCCCGCGUCUGAUUAGCUAGUUGGUGAGGUAAUGGCUCACCAAGGCUACGAUCAGUAGCUGGUCUGAGAGGAUGACCAGCCACAUUGGGACUGAGACACGGCCCAAACUCCUACGGGAGGCAGCAGUGGGGAAUCGUGCGCAAUGGGCGAAAGCCUGACGCAGCCAUGCCGCGUGGAUGAUGAAGGUCUUAGGAUUGUAAAAUCCUUUCACCGGUGAAGAUAAUGACUGUAGCCGGAGAAGAAGCCCCGGCUAACUUCGUGCCAGCCGCCGCGGUAA